AUUAAGACUAGAUGUUUAUUUGGUAAUGACACAUUUAAGCAAACCCUACUCUAUAUUUCUGACAGAGUCUCAGACGUGUUCUCUCUGCUCUUCAGCUCUGUGAACCUGUGAAACAUCUAAUCCAAUUUCAAGGUCCUUUUUCAUCAAGAACUAAUGACAAUCUUCUGUCUCCAGUGAUCACAGCGGCAUCUAAUGGGGAUUCAUCGAUUUGGCACCGCUCAAGAGACAACUUUAUUAUGAAUCUCAGUAAAUCAAUGCAGAAGAAAUGGAUAGAAUUAGAUCCCACCGUUAACUGAUAUAAAAUUCAUAGAAAAUUAGGUGCAGAACAGCAAACAGCCGUGUCUAUGGCAACAUGCUGAGUUAUGAAAGAAAUCGCUCACCUUUGUGGAGGAUACAACAACAACAACACAGCUGGCUCAGAGGGGACUUGUGGGAUGGUCCCAGUCGCACAAAGAGAGAAAUGUGGAGCAGUUUGGGAAACAACGUCACAAUGACUCCAUCUUCUGGUGAACACCCAGUACUGGGAUUUUAGCAGUCAUUCUGCAACUGGUGAAGAGGGUUAUUAUUAUGCUUAAAUUAUUAAAAAGAUUUAAAUAUAAACCAGCCUGACUGCAAACUUUUGAACGGUAUUGUAAAUAUUCCAUGUAGUGUCAACUAAUACUAAUUCAAUAAUAAUGCAAUUGUUAAGAAAUCCUGAUUAUGUUCGGAAUUUAAUG